rnacentral:rRNA from 1 species
GUGCCCUACGGGAGGCAGCAGUGGGGAAUAUUGCACAAUGGGGGGAACCCUGAUGCAGCGACGCCGCGUGGGUGAAGGAGUACUUCGGUACGUAAAGCCCUAUCAGCAGGAAAGAAAAUGACGGUACCUGACUAAGAAGCCCCGGCUACCUACGUGCCAGCAGCCGCGGUAAUACGAAGGGGGCAAGCGUUAUCCGGAUUUACUGGGUGUAAAGGGAGCGUAGACGGCAUGGCAAGACCGGAGUGAAAGCCCGGGGCUACACC